rnacentral:piRNA from 2 species
UCCUCGUAACGCGAUGGCGUGUCCUAC